rnacentral:sRNA from 1 species
GCUUGGACGGAACCCGGCGCUCGUCCCCCACCCCGGCCGGCCGCCCAUAGCCAGCCCUCCGUCACCUCUUCACCGCGCCUUCGGACUGCCCCAAGGCUCCCGCCGCCGCCGCCGCCGCCGCCGCCGCCGCCGCCUCUCCUUAGUCGCCGCCAUGACGACCGCGUCCACCUCGCAGGUGCGCCAGAACUACCACCAGGACUCAGAGGCCGCCAUCAACCGCCAGAUCAACCUGGAGCUCUACGCCUCCUACGUUUACCUGUCCAUGUCUUACUACUUUGACCGCGAUGAUGUGGCUUUGAAGAACUUUGCCAAAUACUUUCUUCACCAAUCUCAUGAGGAGAGGGAACAUGCUGAGAAACUGAUGAAGCUGCAGAACCAACGAGGUGGCCGAAUCUUCCUUCAGGAUAUCAAGAAACCAGACUGUGAUGACUGGGAGAGCGGGCUGAAUGCGAUGGAGUGUGCAUUACAUUUGGAAAAAAAUGUGAAUCAGUCACUACUGGAACUGCACAAACUGGCCACUGACAAAAAUGACCCCCAUGUGAGUAUUGGAACCCCAGGAAAUAAAUGGAGGAAAUCAUUUGCCUUAGGGAUUGGGAAAGCUGCCCACUAACUGUAUUCCCCAUUGUUUUGUAGUUGUGUGACUUCCUUGAGACACAUUACCUGAACGAGCAGGUGAAAGCCAUCAAAGAAUUGGGUGACCACGUGACCAACUUGCGCAAGAUGGGAGCGCCCGAAUCUGGCUUGGCAGAAUAUCUCUUUGACAAGCACACCCUGGGAG